rnacentral:rRNA from 1 species
UACAGAGGUCUCAAGCGUUGUUCGGAUUCAUUGGGCGUAAAGGGUGCGUAGGCGGCGCGGUAAGUCGGGUGUGAAAUCUCGGAGCUUAACUCCGAAACUGCAUUCGAUACUGCCGUGCUCGAGGACUGGAGAGGAGACUGGAAUUUACGGUGUAGCGGUGAAAUGCGUAGAUAUCGUAAGGAAGACCAGUGGCGAAGGCGGGUCUCUGGACAGUUCCUGACGCUGAGGCACGAAAGCGUGGGGAGCGAACAGG